ACCCCGGAAGGGGAGUGAAAGAGAUCCUGAAACCGUGUGCCUACAACUAGUCAGAGCCCGUUAACGGGUGAUGGCGUGCCUUUUGUAGAAUGAACCGGCGAGUUACGGUAUCGUGCAAGGUUAAGCUGAUGAAGCGGAGCCGCAGCGAAAGCGAGUCUGAAUAGGGCGCAUUAGUACGAUGCCGUAGACCCGAAACCGGGUGAUCUACCCAUGUCCAGGGUGAAGGUCGGGUAACACCGACUGGAGGCCCGAACCCACGCAAGUUGAAAAUUGCGGGGAUGAGGUGUGGGUAGGGGUGAAAUGCCAAUCGAACUCGGAAAUAGCUGGUUCUCCCCGAAAUAGCUUUAGGGCUAGCCUCGAGUGAUGAGUCUUGGAGGUAGAGCACUGAUUGGACGAGGGGUCCCCACAGGAUUACCGAAUUCAGUCAAACUCCGAAUGCCAAUGACUUUAACUCGGGAGUCAGACUGCGAGUGCUAAGAUCCGUAGUCAAGAGGGAAACAGCCCAGACCAUCAGCUAAGGUCCCCAAGUAUACGUUAAGUGGAAAAGGAUGUGGAGUUGCCCAGACAACCAGGAUGUUGGCUUAGAAGCAGCCAUCAUUGAAAGAGUGCGUAAUAGCUCACUGGUCGAGUGACUCUGCGCCGAAAAUGUACCGGGGCUAAACGUAUCACCGAAGCUAUGGCAAUCCCGUAAGGGAUUGGGUAGGGGAGCGUUCCAAGGACAGCGAAGCUAGAUCGUGAGGACUAGUGGAGUGCUUGGAAGUGAGAAUGCCGGUAUGAGUAGCGAAAAGAUAGGUGAGAAUCCUAUCCGUCGAAAGCCCAAGGUUUCCUGAGGAAGGCUCGUCCGCUCAGGGUUAGUCGGGACCUAAGCCGAGGCCGAAAGGCGUAGGCGAUGGACAACAGGUUGAUAUUCCUGUACCACCUCGUAUUCGUUUGAACGAUGGGGGGACGCAGAAAGGUAGGGUGAGCGCGCCGCUGGCUGUGCGCGUCGAAGCAUGCGAGGCUGGAACAUAGGCAAAUCCGUGUUCCAUAAGGCUGAGCUGUGACCGUGAAGGACCUUCGGGUCCGAAAUCCCUGAUCCUCCGCUGCCGAGAAAAGCCUCUAGUGAGAAUACAGGUGCCCGUACCGCAAACCGACACAGGUAGGCGAGAAGAGAAUUCUAAGACGCUCGGGAGAACUCUCGUUAAGGAACUCGGCAAAAUGACCCCGUAACUUCGGGAGAAGGGGUGCUCUAGUAGGGUUAA
rnacentral:rRNA from 1 species